rnacentral:tRNA from 1 species
GGGGUCGUAGCUCAGUUGGUAGAGCGACGCGUUCGCAAUGCGUAGGUCAGGGGUUCGACUCCCCUCGACUCCACCA